rnacentral:lncRNA from 1 species
GCAGUUGCCGUCAUCGAUAUCAAUUCCGAUAAACCAUUAGUAGAAUCCAAAAAGGUCCUCAAAGGGAAAAAUUACGAUUGAAACACAAAAAGGCCGAACACACCAAGAUUUUAUUUUUCACAUGAUAUGAUAACAUGCUUUGUUAUUGUUUUGCUUUCAAUUUUCCCCUCCUAGGAAACACUAUCCCUCCUCUUUUGAAAAAUUUCAAAGGCCAACCAAUCAGAGUUGCAAAGACUUAAUUUCGGUGCACAGCGCCCUCCCUAUUGGUCCAAUCGCUAAAUAGGGGAGCUGAGGUGAUGGUGUUGUUGUUGGUUCGUGGAUCGGGUUUGAGGUUGUGUCACUGAUAAGGGAGUUGAUAAUAAUUAAUGAAAUUGGUGUGAGGAAAAUGUAAGUUUGAUUGCAGUAGCCAAGCAUGUCAGCGAAGGAUGGCAAGACGUUUGAAAAGCUGCGGCAAUUUUUCCGCCUAAACAAAGGUGGAACGGGACUUGCCAGACCUGAGAAAGAUUAUAUCUUAACACCAGAAGUAAUAAAGGAGCUGAGUGAUGAAACACCUAUCAACCAGAGACUCAAAACAAUCAGUGCGCUCACUGACGUAGUAUCCAGCCACCGUCUUGAAGAUGUAAGUGUUUCCUUGCCAAUGUGCAUAUCUUGUUUAUGAAACAUGAAUGGAAAGAAACUCACCUGCCCCUCGUAUAAGCAAAUCUCAAAUUUAAGACAUUAUCGAUCAAAAGGUUUUUCCUUUGAACAUCAUAAAAAAUGCUGAUAAGCAAUAAUUGAAAGUCUUAAAUUUUGCAGAAAGAAACCAAUAUUUAAUCAUUCUGCCGUAUCAAAUUCGUAAGGGAUGAUUUUAAAUUUUGAAGUUGUGGUGGAUCCUCUUAUUUUCUUUUAAUUUUUCUCAAGUCAUUUUUAACAUCGUAGAUAUUAAGGAUUAGUUAAAACCCCACCGCAAAAUAGAAAUCUUUCCUGUAUCUUCUAGGUAUCGUUAAAUCCUAAGGUUUGCUUGUUGUUUACAGGGCUGAACAAUUAGGUUGUAUAUUUCCCCCAGAAUGCAUAUGCUCACAGGGAAAUUUCAAUCAAAAGACUAGGCUGUUCUCUUGCCACUAGUAUUUAGGUUCAUCCAAAGAAUAUGUUUGUGCUAUGCUAACUUCAAAAAUGCAUUUGUCCACAGUAGAACCACUGACCUGCAACGUAAAACCAUGAUUCGGCCAAUAAAUCUGUUUAUGAUUUUAUAGUAGAACGAACUCCAUUAGGUCAGAAGAGUUAUGAAUUAGAGCGCUACAUUGCAUGGUUCCUCUUAAAGUUUUACGUGGAAAUGUAACAUGAAGUUCAAAAACCAACUCUCAAGGGAGAUAUCAA